UGUGUCUUUGCCUGUGUUAUGUUCCUCUUCUUCCUCUGCAGAAGAAAGUUCCCUCCAUACUCUGGAUGUGGCCAGAUGUUUGAGAAUCUACAUUGAGAGAUCCCGGGAGUUCAGAAGUGGACACUGGAGGGUCUGAUGGAAAUGGGAAGGC